rnacentral:rRNA from 1 species
UACGUAGGGUGCAAGCGUUGUCCGGAUUUAUUGGGCGUAAAGAGCUCGUAGGCGGUUUGUCGCGUCGGAUGUGAAAACCCAGGGCUCAACCCUGGGCCUGCAUUCGAUACGGGCAGACUAGAGUAUGGCAGGGGAGACUGGAAUUCCUGGUGUAGCGGUGAAAUGCGCAGAUAUCAGGAGGAACACCGGUGGCGAAGGCAGGUCUCUGGGCCGAUACUGACGCUGAGGAGCGAAAGCGUGGGGAGCGAACAGG